UUUAGUGCAACCAUGUUAGGAAAAGCUAUGUGCUAAGUGUAGUGAGCACGCCAAAUACAGUGAGAGGAAAAAAAAUAAAAGAAAUCUGACCUGUUAGUAGCAUGGUGGGCCACAGCACUGUGCUGUGCUGUGAGCCUGGUCUGUCUCCAUCUAAGUUUCUUUAAUGAGAAAACAAAUAAAAUAUUCAAAAAAGAAAUUUUUUUUUUUUUUUUUUGAGACAGAGUCUCGCUCUGUCGCCCAGGCUGGAGUGCAGUGGCGCGAUCUCGGCUCACUGCAAGCUCCGCCUCCCGCGUUCACGUCGUUCUCCACCUCAGCCUCCCGAGUAGCUGGGACUACAUGCGCCCGCCAUCACACCAGGCUAAUUUUUUGUAUUUUUAGUAGAGACGGGGUUUCACCGUGUUAGCCAGGAUGGUCUCGAUCUCCUGACCUCGUGAUCCACCCGCCUCAGCCUCCCAAAGUGCUGGGAUUACAGGCGUGAGCUACUGCGCCCGGCCUAAAAUAUAUAUUAUGUGUAUAUACAUAGAUUUUUAAUUUAAUAAUAUUCCAUUGCUUAGAUGUACCACAGUUCAUUCAUCAGUUGAAAGGCCUUUGAGAUGCUCCCUCUUUGGGCAAUUAUGAAUAAUGUCACAAUCAACAUUUGCAUGCAGAUUUUGUGUGAACAUAAGAGUAAUUUCUCUUGGACUGGCAUGCCUGCUUUGUAUGGAUUGGUGAAGUGCUAAUAUUUAUUCCACUCCUGUCUUCUGAGCUCUAACCAAAUUGAGAACAACUACAAAAAAUGAGGUUAAGAAUGGCUUGGCUAUGCCUUGAAGAAGACUCACAGCCAACAUGGACUAUUUUUUAACAACCUCUGUCAAAAUCCCUCUGGAAAAUGGGUUUAUAAGCAGAUUGAAGAUGAUUUUCCUGUUUUCAAUAUUCCAACCACUCUAUUCAAAAUUCAAGAUGAUUUCCCUAUUCUCACCCAUCUCAACCACCCUAUCCAAAGUUUUAGAGAGAACAGCAUCUUACAGUCAGUACCUGAAGAUAUCCACAUAAUGUAAUAUAGCAUAUCUUUAAUAUAAUAUACUAUAUAAUAUAUAUAUUUCCCAACUAUGUUAUGCUUAAUCAUUUUGGAGAUAUACUUUUUUGUUAUGUACAACAUGAAACUCUAUAUAGUAGCAGAAGAAAUAGUGAGGGAAGCAAAAAAAUUUAAAGUUUAUAUUUUCAUGUCAACUUGUCCAUGCAAUGACUAAUCAUAAUGGAGAAUCACGCUUCCAAUUAUUUUGAGAAAUCUCCUUUACCUUUAUAAUCAUAGCAACAUUAUUGGCCCAUAACAGGAAAUAAUUUCCAUGUUUGUGCCUGUGAGGAUAAGGAUUACAAAGUGGUGAGACAGGAGAGCUUUUCUCAGCUUUGACCUUGACAGUUCUAAGCAGAAUCUAUUGGAAAUGUGGAUGUAAAUAAUGCUAUGCUAUUAUCACUGCUGACCUGGGAAUUUAAAAUGGAACACUUGUUGCUCUCUUAGCUUCCUAUUAGACUAAUAGUUGUGGUCUUUCCAAAGCCAUGGGAAACAUACUUGCAAUAGUAUAGGAAAUUUUCCUCUAGAAAUCUGCUUAAUGUUGAGGCACUGGAUUCUGUUUACACAUGAGCAGUUGGCUUAUUCAAUAAAAAGAUUACAAAUUACCUUAUGGAGCUUUCAUAGAAAGUCUGUAAUAAUUUGUCAUUUAAUUAGUUUGUGGUUUCUACUGUAGUCAGGCAACUGUAGUAAAAUUAUGGUUUAUGAUGCUAUAGAGACAUUAGCGUGGUGCCAUGGAAUGUAGAUAACUAGACGGUAGGAAGACUGCAAGGCUAGUACACUGUGAUAUGUACACACACUCCCGAUUCAUCAGUCUGCUUCCCACAGUAAACAAACAGAACCCUCAAAAUGUGAAAUUUUACUUUAAAAUAUACUAGUUUUAAAAGGUGGGUAUGGGGAAACCACAGAACUGGCCAAUGUUCAGUGUGACCUAAGCCUUUCAUCCCUAGCUCUGUGAAGAGGAUGUACUGGAAUACAGUUAGCAGCCUGGAGAGAAUCCUUGAACUGAGGUUGAGGGAGAAAGCCAAGCUGAGGCAAACUUUAUGGGAGAGAGGCAGAGAAUAAAUGCCCUGACCUCAUUCUCUUCUGUCUCUCCAAACUUCUAUCAACAACUACCGCCCCCAGACCCCCAAUCUUGGAAGAACUUAUUGGGACCUGAUGCAUACAUGCAAACACACAAAUGCAUACAUAAAGACACAUGUAAUAAUAAUAUUUCUCUCUCUCUCUCUCUCUCUCCUUCCUCUUUUUCUCUCCUCUUUAUUACACAUUCGUGUAAGUUCUGGUGUAGCAAAAAUGCAAACUCGGACAAGUCACAGUUUCUCUAGUUUCUGCAAUUGUAAAUAAUAAUAAUCACACUCAGUUCACCAAAAGUUUGAGAGCUUAAUGACAUAUGCAUGAAAUAUGAAAUUUUAUUUUAAAAGUAAAUUACAUAAAUAAUUAUAUAUAAAUAAAUUAUAUAUAUGAUAUUUACCUAAAAUACGCAAUGCAAUGAAGGCUACAUAAACAGAUGUUCAGAAUGGAUAAGCAGUCUCUGUGAAACAGGUAACCCAAUGAGAUAGCUUACAUUCCGUUGUGCUGCUUAGAUUGACCAACACAGUGCAUGAAUAUAGUGCUUACUCCAUAACUGCUGAGUGAUUUUAUUCCUCACAUCAUUUUGAACUACACUUCUUUAUUUCCUUCCCUACUCCCUAAUAUUUCUGUAUUAGUACAGAAUGCUAACCGAUUGUACCAGUGGAGCUUCAAACUUCAGUAUUUCCUAAGGCUAGUACCAAACUUUACUAUGGCUUUCUGUACUUGGCAAAUUCUUUUUAUCAUAUUUCAACUGUUCUUGGCCAGUCAGAAUGCAGGGAUCAAGGCUAUGCAUUGAAAAUUUGAAGACAAAGACUGUGACCUUCACUUCAAGGAAUUUGGAUCCUAUCAGAGGAGACAAACAAGUGAAUACACCCUUUAAACUCAGUAACUAGGCUUCUCGGGUGGGAAGCAGAACAGUAUUUGUUAAAAGGUGAAACACUAGAGUCAGAAUGCUUGAGUUUGACUCCUGACCCAAAGCGAAACUAUAAGGAUUUGGGAUAAAUUACUUGAUCACUCCAUGCUUCAAUUGUUUCAUGUUUAAAAUGGGAAUAUUAAAUGCACGGUGUGCAAUUAGGUAUUAGUCAGUUCUUGCCCUGCUAUAAAGAAAUAUCUGAGAGUGGGUAAUUUAUAAAGAAAAGAGGUUUAAUUGGCUCAUGGUUCUGCAGGCUCUAAAGGAAGCAUGGUGGCAACUGCUUCUCUUCUGGGGAGGCCUCAGGAAACUUACAAUUAUGGUGGAAGGGGAAGGUGAAGGAGGCAAGUCUUACAUGGCUGGAGCAGCAGCAAGAGCAAGAGGGGAGAGGUGCUACACACUUUUAAACAACCAGAUCUCAUAAGAGCUCAUUAUUCUGAUGACAGCACUAAGAAGGAUGGUGUUAAACUGUGAGAAACUGCCCCCGAUACAAUCACUUCCCACCAAGGCCCUCCUCCAACAAUGGGGAUUAAAAGUCAACAUGAAAUUUGGUGCGGACAGAGAUCCCAACCAUAUCAGAUUACCACUACAGCUAUUAUUAGUACAGUGCUAUAAUCUGAA
rnacentral:lncRNA from 1 species